rnacentral:siRNA from 1 species
GAUGGGCUUAGAUGAUGG